UAACAAAUAGCCAAUGGUAGUGCGUCUGACUCCAAAUCAGAAGGUUGCGUGUUAGAUUCACGUUGGGUUCA
rnacentral:tRNA from 1 species